AGAGUUUGAUCCUGGCUCAGAACGAACGCUGGCGGCAUGGAUUAGGCAUGCAAGUCGAACGAAAAGUUGAAGCUUGCUUCAACAGAAGAGUGGCGAAAGGGUGAGUAACGCGUGAGCAACUUGCCUCCAAGUUGGGAAUAACGUCUGGAAACGGGCGCUAAAACCGAAUGUGAAUAUUUUUCCGCAUGGUUUAAUAUUUAAAAAUUUAUUGCUUGGAGAUGGGCUCGCGUCCCAUUAGCUAGUUGGUGGGGUAAUGGCCUACCAAGGCACCGAUGGGUAGCUGGUCUGAGAGGAUGAUCAGCCACACUGGGACUGAGACACUGCCCAGACUCCUACGGGAGGCUGCAGUCGAGAAUCUUCCGCAAUGCGCGAAAGCGUGACGGAGCAAUGCCGCGUGGUGGAUGAAGGCCUUAGGGUUGUAAACACCUGUCACAUGGGACGAAUUUUGACGGUACCAUGAGAGGAAGCCACGGCUAACUACGUGCCAGCAGCCGCGGUAAUACGUAGGUGGCGAGCGUUGUUCGGAUUUAUUGGGCGUAAAGGGUCCGCAGGGGGUUUAUCAAGUCUGAUGUGAAAUCCCAAGGCUCAACCUUGGAACUGCAUUGGAAACUAGUAAACUAGAGUAUCGGAGAGGUAAAUGGAAUUCCUGGUGUAGCGGUGGAAUGCGUAGAUAUCAGGAAGAACACCGAAAGCGAAGGCAGUUUACUGGACAGUUACUGACCCUCAUGGACGAAAGCGUGGGUAGCGAACAGGAUUAGAUACCCUGGUAGUCCACGCCGUAAACGUUGUAUACUUGAUGUGGGAGGAUUUAUCCCCUUCCGUGUCGUAGCUAACGCGAUAAGUAUACCGCCUGGGGACUACGGCCGCAAGGCUAAAACUCAAAGGAAUUGACGGGGGCCCGCACAAGCGGUGGAGCAUGUGGCUUAAUUCGAGGCAACGCGAAGAACCUUACCUGGGCUUGAAAUACAUCUGAUCGUCCACGAAAGUGGAUUUCUGCUUGCAGCAGAUGUACAGGUGCUGCAUGGCUGUCGUCAGCUCGUGCCGUGAGGUGUUCGGUUAAGUCCGGCAACGAGCGCAACCCGUGUCAUUAGUUGCCAUCAGGUAAUGCUGGGGACUCUAAUGAAACUGCCCGUGUCAAGCGGGAGGAAGGCGCGGAUGACGUCAAGUCAGUAUGGCCCUUAUGUCCAGGGCUGCACACGUGCUACAAUGGUCGGUACAGAGGGAAGCAAUAUCGCGAGGUGGAGCAAAUCCUUAAAGCCGGCCCUAGUUCGGAUUGUAGUCUGCAACUCGACUACAUGAAGUUGGAAUCGCUAGUAAAGGCGUAUCAGCAAUGACGCCUUGAAUACGUUCCCGGGCCUUGUACACACCGCCCGUCACAUCAUGGAAGUUGAUUGCACCCGAAGUCGUUGACCCGACCCCUCACGGGGAGGGAGACGCCGAAGGUGUGGUUGAUAACUGGGAUGAAGUCGUAACAAGGUAACC
rnacentral:rRNA from 1 species